GCCGAUGUAGCUCAACGGGAGAGCAGUUGCAUGGUAGGCAACCGAUGAGCGUUCGAAUCGCUCCAUUGGCUCCA
rnacentral:tRNA from 1 species